rnacentral:rRNA from 1 species
GAUGAACGCUGGCGGCGUGCCUAAUACAUGCAAGUCGAGCGAACGGACGAGAAGCUUGCUUCUCUGAUGUUAGCGGCGGACGGGUGAGUAACACGUGGAUAACCUACCUAUAAGACUGGGAUAACUUCGGGAAACCGGAGCUAAUACCGGAUAAUAUUUUGAACCGCAUGGUUCAAAAGUGAAAGACGGUCUUGCUGUCACUUAUAGAUGGAUCCGCGCUGCAUUAGCUAGUUGGUAAGGUAACGGCUUACCAAGGCAACGAUGCAUAGCCGACCUGAGAGGGUGAUCGGCCACAUGAGAACGGAGACACGGACCAGAGUCCUACGGGAGGCAGCAGUAGGGAAUCUGACGCAAUGGGCGAAAGCCUGACGGAGCAACGCCGCGUGAGUGAUGAAGGUCUUCGGAUCGUAAAACUCUGUUAUUAGGGAAGAACAGAUGUGUAAGUAACUGUGCACAGCUUGACGGUACCUAAUCAGAAAGCCACGGCUAACUACGUG